GCACUAGUGGUUUAGUGGUAAAAUUGGCCGUUGCCAUCGGCCAGCCCUCGGUUCGAUUCCGGGCUAGUGCA
rnacentral:tRNA from 1 species